rnacentral:tRNA from 1 species
AUAAGAGUAGUUAAAUGAAUAACUUUGAAUUUGCAUUUCAAAAUUGAGGCUUCGUAGUCUCCUCUUAUU